UGGGUUACGGAUUAAUUUUGCUCUUAUAAAAUAACACGGUUUAAUAUACAAAACGUAUUUUUUAGUUUUUUUGAACAACUAUUAUUUCAUUUAACAAAUUUAAUGUUAGACCAUUACAAGCGGGCAAAGCCAGCUGAACAUGUCGAGCAGAAACGGUCACGUAAGCAAUCGCUAAGAAAGGGUUCGGAGAAAAUUCCCGUGGGCUUGGAAUACCUAUAAUGGGUUAAAUAAAACCUCACCCAGAUACGCA